AGUAGAGAUGGGGUUUCACCAUGUUGGCCAGGCUGGUCUCAAACUCCUGACCUCGGGUGAUCCACACACCUCGGCCUCCCAAAGUGUUGGGAUUACAGGCGUGAGCCACUGUGCCUGGCCUGGAUACAGGGUCUUCAGCAACUAUGUGACUAACAAAUAUUAAGCCACAAUCUACUGUUUGCCUUUCAAUGCUCUUAAUGGUACCUUUUGAAGAACAGAAGUUCUUCAUUUUGAUGAAGUUCAAAUUAUUAAGCAUUUAUGUUAUAUAGAUUGUGCUUCUGUUGUGAUAUCUAAAAAAUCUUUAAUCUUUGCCUAGACCAAGAUCACACAGAUUUUCUCCCAUGUUUUCUUCUAGAAGUUUUAUGGUUUUAGAUGUUUAUGAAAAGCCAAUGAUCCGUUUGGACUUUAUUUUUGUAUAAAGAGUGAGGAAUGGCUCAGAUUUGUUUUUUUAAGUACAGGUAUCUAAUUGUUCUUGUACUUUUUUUUAGUCUUUUCUCCAUUGAACUGUGUUUGUACUUUUGUAGAAAAUCAAUAGACUGUAAAUUUACAAGCCUAGUUUUGGCUUUCUAGUUUUCCAUUGGGCUUUAUGCUUAUUCUUUCUCCAACAACACAAAUUGUCUUAUUAUUUAUAUACCUUUUAAAAUAUUUCUAAAUCAUUGCCCUAUGGGACAAAAUAUACAUUUUUAAUUAUGCAGUAUCUACUUUCAAAUAAUACUGUGCUGCUUCACAUGUUGUACAGGAUCUUCUAACAGUAUACUCCUAAUUCUUCCCUCUUGUAUUUUGUGCAAUUGUUGUCAUGUAGUUUACGUUUAAAUUUGUAUAAACAUAUAAUACAUUGAUAAAGUAUUUUUGCUUGAGACAAGGGAUUGACAAACUAAAUGAGAUAGUGGGACUGUAAUGAAUGAGAAACAGAUGUUUAUUGUGAUCAUCUGUUGAUAUUCUGAAUUUGUUUAUCCAGCAAUUAUCCUAUCCUAAUUUGGUGGAGAGAGGAGCCUGUGAACUGCUGCUCCCAGGUAACUUACAAUCUGAUUGAAGAGGAUGUAUCACGUAUUCUUCAAUUAAAUGCUGCUUAGACCAGUUGGCUUGAAUUGGUCCUUUUUAUUUCUCUAUGUUUUUUUACUGGCCUUAAUAACCUGGAUGGAGAAAAAAAAAAUGCAGUCUGAGAUGCGGUCAGUGAGUGGCCCCUCCUCUGUUUGCAGUCACUAUGGCCUUCUAAAGUGUAUGUCAUCUUCUGAUAAAAUUAUUUUGUUCCCACCCUUCUAAUACAUUGGUCUAUCUUGGAUCAUACUCCCAAAGUGAUUAUCUGACCUGAGAAAUACACUCCAACUUAGCAAGGUCAUAUAUGCAUAUUUCUCAAGUCUUGGCCUCCACUCCUACAGAGACAGCAGGCAGUGCAACUGACACCUGAGACUUGGGGAAGAGCACCAAGUAGUGGCAGGAGAUGGGUAGGAGGGUGUGGUGGAAGGUCAAGAGUAGGGGUUUACAUGGACUCAAGUGCCCUGAACUAUGGUAGGUGCAGGCGUGGUGGGACUGGCUAGGGAAAUGUGUCCUCAAAGUGUCUAUUGUCUGUCUACUUUCAAAGACAUUACUCAGAAUGACUUUUCCAACUCUGGGCAAGGUUUCUGCUUUAGACUUGUAGUGUUACUGAGGAGCUCUUUCUUGGGCUCUGUGUGCAUAACAGUAUGCACCUCUGCCUUGAAAAGCCCAUGUUCUCUUAACUGUGUAUCUAGAAUACGUGUUUCCUAAGAGGGAGGUUCCUCAGUUCUGGGAGAUGGACGUGUACUAAAUAUCAAUGUCUUUCAUUCCAUAUCCUGUUCAAUGGCUCCAGUCCAGCUUUCUGACAGAAAGCAAAAAAUAUCACCCCCUUGGAGAGCUGACUUUGCUCCAUGCAGUUCCCACCUUUAUGAUGCUAUGAACUCCAGAUGUCAGCUGUAGUUUUUCUCCACUUUUUGACAGUGUGAAGAAUGUAAGUCGAACCUUAUCUCCUUCCUUACAUUUCACUGUGUCCUCGUUUCUAACCACCAAUACUUCCAUUUCCCCAGUCUUGUCACUUAGGUCAAAUAAUACAUUUUUCUUCUUUUCUGUUACCUGUGAAAGAAAAUCAACACCCAGCCUCUGAUAAUCUGAUUAAGGAAUACCACAUCAGUCACACAUCAGACAUGCCAGAAGAAGGCUCUAAAAAGAAAUACAGUUAAUUCUUGAACAACACAGAUUUUACCUGUGCAGGUCCAUUUAUAUGGGAAUUUUCCUCUGUCUCUGCCACCCCAAGACGGCAAGACCAACCCUCCUCUUCCUCCUUCCUCCUCAGUUUACUUAACAUGAAGACAGCGAUGAAGAACUUUAUGAUGAUCUACUUCCACUUAAUGAAUAAGACAGGUUUUGCCACGUUGGCUAGGAUGAUCUGGAACUCUUCAACUUUAGUGAUCCACCCGCCUUGGCCUCCCAAAGUGCUAGGAUUACAGGCAUGAACAGCCGUGCCCAGCCUGAAGACAGCUAUUUAAAACAACAAGUCCAGGAGAGACAUGAGGAGCACCUCUGUCCGGCCACCCCACCAUCUGGGAAGUGAGGAGGGCCUCUGCCCGGCCGCCCCACUGUCUGGGAAGUGAGGAGGGCCUCUGCCCGGCCGCCCCACCGUCUGGGAAGUGAGGAGCGCUGUGCAACCUUCCAAGUGUGAAGUGACAGCCUUGUACGUGAUCUUUUCUGUCUUCCCCAAGUUUGCAUUUUCGACAUUAAAGUUUACUUCUAAUUAAAAAUAAAUAAAUAAAUAAGUCUCCUCAAGCUAACUCUUUCUUCUGUUUUCUUCAUUUAAUCACAGUUCUUUAAUCCUGCCUUGCAUAUUGGUUUUUCAGGUCAAUUAAUCUGGUUGAUUAUUCAACUACACUUAUUUUGCAUUCACAACAAUAGUCACUUAAAAUAAAGAUAAUACGGACAACGCACAAAAAUAACGCAGAAAUAAAAAUUAUGUGAAUGAACUAAUUCCUUUUUCAGAGGCUACUGGGAUAAGAAUAAGUUGAAACAGGAUUGUGACAUUUUUGACAAUAAAAACAAUUUUUGAGUUUUUGUAUGAAUUUUGGCAUGUUAACUCUGCAGUUCUUUAGAACUUUGUAUUUUUUUAGUUUGUCUAUAUAGAAAGACAUUAAAACCAUUUCUAAAGUCUCUUUAAGAUCAGAUGGAAAAUACGUUAUUCUUACUAAUCAAUAUGAAAUUAGAUAUGAAAACUUACCUUCUGGACUACAAACAACCCAUUCACAAUUGUUCCAAGGGGCUGAGUUUGAAGCGUGUUGAUCUUUGGGGUUUCACCAGCUUUUCUGAUAAUGUUCAGCGGGACAUUAACCUUUUGGUCAGAUUUAGCAUCUAACACACAUGAGGUGCUAUUUACCUCUAAGAAACCACUGUGCUGAUAAUAUCUUGAUAUUAUAAUCAUUCUCUUUGGAAUGAAUUUAUCUUUCAGCAGUGUAUUAAAAACUUUUACAAAGAAGAAUUCCUUCUCUGUAGCCACUGUAGCAUGAAACAUCUCUUGCUUGCCUUCUUGGGUCUCAAACGUGAAGGGCUUUGUUGCUUUCAGUACCAUAACUGGCAAACAGUCUUUCUGAAACCCUUCUCUGAUAGAUUCCUGCUGGGCCACCCUCUGUUUCUGCUCAGGCUGAAGACAAGAGAAGAAAGAUAUCAGCUGUGAGUCAAAAAGGUACUAUUGAAAGGAACUUCCUUCACCCACAGUGCUAAGCCUCAGGAAGCCACAGAAGACAGGUGGAAUCAAGGGAAGAGACACAGAAGGGAUAAGAAGAGACUUGAGGCCUAGAAUGAUCUAGAUGGAACAGAGAGUGCAGAAGGAAGAUUUCAGCUCCUGUAUUCAGAUAAGACGGUGUAACAUGUUUUGGAGGUAGGAUCCCUGAAACUAAAUCCUUGCUUUGCCAUGCGCUAUAUAAAAAGACUUCAUCAGAUUUCUGAAAUAUUUCUAAGCCUCGGGGUAAAUCUGAUAAAUCUGAUUCCAUCUUCUAUGAUUCCAUUCGGGCAUAAUAUAUCCUUAUUUCUCUAUCCAAUACUGUCCUAAACAUUCUUUUUACUCUGGUAUAAAAGUGAGGGAGCUCAGUGACCUGCACAGGGCUCCCCAAAUUCCUAGGGAGGUGUUGUACGUAACAAAAUGUAGAUUAUGUUUAAUGUGAGUUAAGGGGGAGACCUAGGUCAGAGAUCUUACAAGUGAGUUAAAGGAGAAAUUUAAAAGGAGAAUUCAUACUACAUUAAUGGAUUUACCCUUAAAUAAUGAAUUAUGCACUAAGGUUUACAUUUCAAAAAUGCAUCUUAUUAUUUGAAAUUAUAAAAAAAGAAAUAAUUUAAAUAUCUAAAAAGUAGAUUUAGUUAAACAAAAUAUGGUAUAGUCAGAAAUAGAUUACUAUGCAAAUAUUAAAAAUGCUUUAGAGAAAUAAUAUGAUAAACUGUUAUAACUGACUCAAUACAGGGAAAGGUCCUAAACAGAUAAAAAAUCUCUUUCUUUUUGGAUAAAUAAGUAGUUAAAGCACACACACAAACACAAUACAGAGAUAUUUACCAACAUCAAUAUAUUUUUUUCCUAGAUGAUACAAUUAUAGGUAAUUUUAUUCGCUUCUCUGUGUUUUUUAUUUUUCUGAAUUAACAGAGAUAAGAUACCUUUUUUGGUUUGUUUUGGGAGAAAAUACUACUUUUUAAAAGCAACUUGCCAUCUAGAACCAAAUGGAAACACAGGGAAAAACAAACAGAGGCAUAAAAAGUCAAGUGUAGGAGUCUCUGAAGGCUGUCUCUGAUGUGACCUGAAGCUUGGGCCAGUGGAGCUUGGGCCAGUAAGGGGCCCUGAUGGGCAGUAUAACUGAUUGCAUUUGGAUCAAUGCAGGGAAAGGUCAGCUCCACUGAGUUCCACUACAAAAGUCCUUCUCUUUGGUCCAUGUAUCUUUAGUUGAGUCUUCCAGACUGAAUAAUGCAUAUUUUCAUUACUGGUGAUGGAAUCACACCAUUUAUACUUGAACCUUGUUUUCUGAAAAUCCAGAAGUUUCUGGGCCAAACCCAGAGGAAAUGGCUCCUCUAGACAAAGAGAAUGAAGUAUGUGUCAUCAGUUUCUAGAGCUCACACAGUUAUAAAAUGGUGUAACACCUGCUUCACAGGAAAUGAAAUUGCAUGUGUGGUGGAUUCUGUGUUGGGCCUUUCCGAUAUUGCCUGCCACUUCCUCAGGACUAAAGUAAUCAUUCUCAUCAAUGAGACUCUCCAGGCACUACUCUCUCAGCUAAACGGGGCCACCUCACCUUGUCCAUGCAGGUGUAUUAAGGGCUUUUUUACAUUACUUUUAAAAAGCAAUUUGCUGUCAAGAACUAAGGGAAAAUACAGGGGAAAACGAACAGAGGCAUGCCAGGUCGAGUGUAAGAGUCUCUGCAUUGGAUCUCUGAUGUGACCCGGAGCCUGGGCCUGUGCAAACCACAGGCUCCCCCACAAAUCUUGGGAGCCCUGAAAGGCAUUCUCAGCUCCUGAGCUCCCUGUGGGGUAGGCCAAGGCCUCUAUUGCAACUACAUUGGACUUGACAUUCUUCCUCUUCUACUCCUUUCACUUCCUCACAGAUAUUAAUUCUGAAAGUGUUCUAAAAUAGACUUCCUGUAAACAACUGUCUAUCUCAAAGUUUUCUUCUUAUAGAAUCCAAACCGUAACGGAGUGUUAAUGUGUCCAGGCCCUGACAGAGAUUAGAAGCUCAACAGGUGUUUAAUCUGAUUAAUCAGACGUAGUUCUUGUUUUUGUGACUCAGAGUGCUUUUCACACUGUGGCCUUAAUUCCUUUAUUUGCAUGCUGUGAGACAAAGAACAGAGAACAAUGUGGGAAAUAACAAUGACAGUGAUGCUCUUACAAGGACAAAGACCACUCCACUCUCCUCAUCCUACCUUAACAUGAGGAGAGACUUUUGGUGCAGCACGUUGCUUUGUGACAUCAUUUCUGAUGGCUGCAGAUGCAGCAGGACUCAUUUCAGCUUGACUUAGUGGCUUUGGUUUUGUUACCAAUUUGUAUUUCUUAUCAACUGAUUAAAAAAUGAAAGACAUGGACAAUAAGCAUAUAAACAUAUGAGCAAUGCACAUUUUCAAAUGUCACCAGAAAUAAAUACUAAAACCAUAUUAAGGUAUCUUUAAGAGCAGUUAAUUUUUCUCAAGAAAAAAAAAAAAAAAAAA